rnacentral:rRNA from 1 species
UGGGGAAUCUUGCGCAAUGGACGAAAGUCUGACGCAGCCAUGCCGCGUGAAUGAUGAAGGUCUUAGGAUUGUAAAGUUCUUUAGCCUGUGACGAUGAUGACGGUAACAGGAGAAUAAGCCCCGGCUAACUUCGUGCCAGCAGCCGCGGUAAUACGAAGGGGGCUAGCGUUGUUCGGAAUUACUGGGCGUAAAGCGCGCGUAGGCGGUUUUACAAGCCAGAGGUGAAAUGCCUGAGCUCAACUUAGGAAUU